rnacentral:rRNA from 1 species
UACGGAGGGUGCAAGCGUUAUCCGGAUUCACUGGGUUUAAAGGGUGCGUAGGAGGGCAGGUAAGUCAGUGGUGAAAUCUCCAAGCUUAACUUGGAAACUGCCGUUGAUACUAUCUGUCUUGAAUACCGUGGAGGUGAGCGGAAUAUGUCAUGUAGCGGUGAAAUGCUUAGAUAUGACAUAGAACACCAAUUGCGAAGGCAGCUCGCUACACGAAUAUUGACACUGAGGCACGAAAGCGUGGGGAGCGAACAGG